rnacentral:rRNA from 1 species
CGUGCCUAAUCCAUGCAACUGGAGCGGCCAGAAGGGAGCCUGGUCCCGGACGUUACCGGCGCACGGGUGAGUAACACGUGGGUAACCUGCCUGUACGACUCGGAUAACUCCGGGAAACCGGAGCUAAUACCGGAUAGUUCCUUGAACCGCAUGGUUCAAGGAUGAAAGACGGUUUCGGCUGUCACUUACAGAUGGACCCGCGGCGCAUUAGCUAGUUGGUGGGGUAAUGGCUCACCAAGGCGACGAUGCGUAGCCGACCUGAGAGGGUGAUCGGCCACACUGGGACUGAGACACGGCCCAGACUCCUACGGGAGGCAGCAGUAGGGAAUCUUCCGCAAUGGACGAAAGUCUGACGGAGCAACGCCGCGUGAGUGAUGAAGGUUUUCGGAUCGUAAAGCUCUGUUGUUAGGGAAGAACAAGUGCGAGAGUAACUGCUCGCAC